AAUCAACGCUGGCGGCGUGCCUCAGACAUGCAAGUCGAACGAUUAAAGCUCUCUUCGGAGAGUGUAUAGAGUGGCGCACGGGUGAGUAACACGUAAGUAAUCUACCCUCGAGUGGGGAAUAACGUCCGGAAACGGACGCUAAUACCGCAUAAUGCAGCGGCACCGCAAGGUGACAGUUGUUAAAGGAGAAAUUCGCUUGAGGAGGAGCUUGCGGCAGAUUAGCUUGUUGGUAAGGUAACGGCUUACCAAGGCUACGAUCUGUAACCGGUCUUAGAGGACGGUCGGUCACACUGACACUGAAUAACGGGUCAGACUCCUACGGGAGGCAGCAGUCGGGAAUUUUGGGCAAUGGGCGAAAGCCUGACCCAGCAACGCCGCGUGAAGGAUGAAGUAUUUCAGUAUGUAAACUUCGAAAGAAUAGGAAGAAUAAAUGACGGUACUAUUUAUAGGUCCGGCUAACUACGUGCCAGCAGCCGCGGUAA
rnacentral:rRNA from 1 species